UCUAACUAGAAAAAUGGAUUUAAAUCCACUCUAUGUUCCUGCUCUCCAUCUCUAACUUCUUUUUUUGAAGUUGGCUAACUAAUGGAUAGUGAUAGUACGUUUGCAUGUCUCUUCAUGUGUGGUUACAAUUGUCUUGGCUUUAGACAUCAGCAAAACAAAGAGUGGUUCGAAUUUUUUAAAACAAAAAAGGAAAAAGUGAUCAGAGGGGUCCCUUAGUAGUAACAAGGACGGGUUUAUAUGAUCUUCUCUUGUGAUCCCUAGAUGAAAGGAUUUAAAAUAACGCUAUUGUUACCCUUAAUAAAAAGCUUGUAUACGGAUAAAACUGGGGGAAUGUUCACCCAGAUUCCCGAUGAAGGAACGAAGGGGAGAACAUGGACACGCGAUAUUGUUAUCAGGGCUAGAGACCCAUCGAGACCCAGAAAGGACGAAUGAUAUGUUCGACAUUGGACGCGAUAAAGCGACGCACCUCGGAUCGAGUAUGACUUCUAGACCUCGGGAGACGCGAUGGACGGUUAUGCACAACUGAUAGGGGCCACAAUGCUCGUCCUCAACUGGAUAUUACGACGGAAUCUCGCUCAAUGUCGAUUAUGGAUCAACAAUUAUCGAGAGAAGAAGAUUUUUACCUUUUUUAGACUUUUUACUAGAAUUGAAACUCUCCUACUAUAUAAAGGGGAAACUUUUCUUUAGU
rnacentral:lncRNA from 1 species